rnacentral:rRNA from 1 species
UACGUGGGCAGCGAGCGUUGUUCGGAGUUACUGGGCGUAAAGGGUGUGUAGGCGGUUGUUUAAGUUUGGUGUGAAAUCUCCCGGCUCAACUGGGAGGGUGCGCCGAAUACUGAAUGACUUCGAGUGCGGGAGAGGAAAGUGGAAUUCCUGGUGUAGCGGUGAAAUGCGUAGAUAUCAGGAGGAACACCGGUGGUGUAGACGGCUUUCUGGACCGUAACUGACGCUGAGACACGAAAGCGUGGGUAGCAAACAGG